rnacentral:rRNA from 1 species
UGGGGAAUAUUGGACAAUGGGCGCAAGCCUGAUCCAGCCAUGCCGCGUGAGUGAUGAAGGCCCUAGGGUUGUAAAGCUCUUUCGCCAGGGACGAUAAUGACGGUACCUGGAUAAGAAGCCCCGGCUAACUUCGUGCCAGCAGCCGCGGUAAUACGAAGGGGGCUAGCGUUGUUCGGAAUCACUGGGCGUAAAGCGCACGUAGGCGGAUCUUUAAGUCAGGGGUGAAAUCCCGAGGCUCAACCUCGGAACUGCCUUUGAUACUGGGGAUCUCGAGUCCUGGAGAGGUGAGUGGAACUGCGAGUGUAGAGGUGAAAUUCGUAGAUAUUCGCAAGAACACCAGUGGCGAAGGCGGCUCACUGGCCCGGAACUGACGCUGAGGUGCGAAAGCGUGGGGAGCAAACA